rnacentral:rRNA from 1 species
AGAGUUCGAUUAUGGCUCAGGAUGAACGCUAGCUACAGGCUUAACACAUGCAAGUCGAGGGGCAGCAUGAUUGAAGCUUGCUUCAAUUGAUGGCGACCGGCGCACGGGUGAGUAACACGUAUCCAACCUUCCGUACACUCAGGGAUAGCCUUUCGAAAGAAAGAUUAAUACCCGAUGGUAUAUCUGAAAGGCAUCUUUCAGCUAUUAAAGAAUUUCGGUCAUUGAUGGGGAUGCGUUCCAUUAGGUUGUUGGCGGGGUAACGGCCCACCAAGCCAUCGAUGGAUAGGGGUUCUGAGAGGAAGGUCCCCCACAUUGGAACUGAGACACGGUCCAA